AUCCCAGACUCCUACGGGAGGCAGCAGUGGGGAAUAUUGGGCAAUGGACGCAAGUCUGACCCAGCAACGCCGCGUGAAGGAAGAAGGCUUUCGGGUUGUAAACUUCUUUUAAGGGGGAAGAGCAGAAGACGGUACCCCUUGAAUAAGCCACGGCUAACUACGUGCCAGCAGCCGCGGUAAUACGUAGGGGGCAAGCGUUAUCCGGAUUUACUGGGUGUAAAGGGAGCGUAGACGGCGAUACAAGUCUGAAGUGAAAGCCCGGGGCUCAACCCCGGGACUGCUUUGGAAACUGUGUUGCUGGAGUGCUGGAGAGGCAGGCGGAAUUCCUAGUGUAGCGGUGAAAUGCGUAGAUAUUAGGAGGAACACCAGUGGCGAAGGCGGCCUGCUGGACGACAACUGACGGUGAGGCGCGAAAGCGUGGGGAGCAAACAGGAUUAGAUACCCCUGUAC
rnacentral:rRNA from 1 species